CUUACGUUGGGGUACCAUUCAUACAAAUGUGAUUGCUUAGGGAAAUGCUAAUUAGAAUUUAUAGAUAACAUAUACACAAUCAUUCGGGUAAACAAUUUGGCCAUUUUCCUCAUACUUAGCACUAUCAUAAUAGUGUAUGCAAUAAUGACAAGUAUUCUGUGAGACUACAUGUGUUGCAUAUUAUAUCUAGUAUAGAUCUAGCACCAAUGGAGAUUUGUAUGGCUCCAUGUUUGGAUGUGUUCUAUUUUUGUGUUUUUCCUGCUUUGCUCGAGUGUGUUAAUCCCCUUCAUAAAUGAACCUGAAUCAUGAACAUAAAAAUGGAGUCUGAACUAUUCCUCAUGGAUGAGUUCUAGCUAUGCACAUGAACAAAGUUGCAAGAAUUAGAGAAGCAGGAUGAGUGAGAUAGGGGCUGAGGGAUCAAUAAUGAAUAAAGAAUGUUCUGCUGCAUUUAAAAGAUGCUGGGGGACUUUAUGUUCUGUCAGCCAUUCACAACAAAAUUUGCUGCUCCUAAAUGGAUGUGGCCAGGCUGAAACGUUUCUGCUGGUUGGCUUGUGGGCGGGGACCGACAGAGUUAUUCAAUGCUACACUACCUGGGCUCUGCACUUGCACCAACAUUGUCAAAAUGAGAAAUAUAUAAAUGUUGAUAUACUACAGGAUUUAUCACUUAUGUUUUAUUUGUGCACCCCAUGUUAAACAACUUGCGCCACAUCCUUUUACUGCCCUAUAGGAACAUUGUUAGCCAUUUUUUUUGUUAAGUGUUCUGUGCUGGGUUUUUCCCUGCCUUUUUGUAAUUAACCAUGACAUAGCACAUUGUAUUUGGUUGAUACUUAUUCUUUGUUUCCCUUUGAACAAAAG
rnacentral:lncRNA from 1 species